GAUGAACGCUAGCGGCAGGCCUAAUACAUGCAAGUCGAACGGGAUCCAGAUCAAAGCUUGCUUUGGUCUGGUGAGAGUGGCGCACGGGUGCGUAACGCGUGAGCAACCUACCCUUGUCAGGGGGAUAGCCCGGCGAAAGUCGGAUUAAUACCGCAUGACAUCAUUGAGAGGCAUCUUUCGAUGAUCAAAGAUUUAUCGGACAAGGAUGGGCUCGCGUGACAUUAGCUAGUUGGUAAGGUAACGGCUUACCAAGGCUGCGAUGUCUAGGGGCUCUGAGAGGAGAAUCCCCCACACUGGUACUGAGACACGGACCAGACUCCUACGGGAGGCAGCAGUAAGGAAUAUUGGUCAAUGGACGGAAGUCUGAACCAGCCAUGCCGCGUGCAGGAGGACGGCCCUAUGGGUUGUAAACCGCUUUUAUACGGGAACAAACGUCGGUACGUGUACCGGUCUGAGUGUACCGUAAGAAUAAGGAUCGGCUAACUCCGUG
rnacentral:rRNA from 1 species